AUGAACACGGACUCGGAGACCAUCAAGACUGCGUGCAAAUAUAUUCUGCAGAAAAAUUCACAGAACAGACACCAUCAGAUCAAGAAGAAGUAUUUUGAUACCGUAGCCGCAAACAAAGUCAGCAUCAAGUCUCCGGUGCCAGAUCUGACGGAUGGUGAAUGGCAAGCUCUAGUGGAGAUGUGGUCUACCCCAACACACAAGGAAACCUGUGUGUCGAACAAGAUGAAUCGAGAAAAAGUCGUGUACAAUCAGAGAACUGGUUCCAGGCACUACACAACACACAUUUUUGCCACUAAAGAAGAGCACGAUUGA
rnacentral:rRNA from 1 species